UACAGAGGUCUCAAGCGUUGUUCGGAUUCAUUGGGCGUAAAGGGUGCGUAGGCGGCGCGGUAAGUCGGGUGUGAAAUCUCGGAGCUUAACUCCGAAACUGCAUUCGAUACUGCCGUGCUUGAGGACUGGAGAGGAGACUGGAAUUUACGGUGUAGCGGUGAAAUGCGUAGAUAUCGGAAGGAACACCGGUGGCGAAAGCGACGCACUGGACCUUUUCUGACGCUGAGGCGCGAAAGCCAGGGGAGCAAACGGG
rnacentral:rRNA from 1 species